GUAGAUGGUGCCAAUAUAUACGUCAAAAUGCAGAAAACUUGGAUAGUUUGUCUGGUUUUGGUGACAUUUUCUCUGGGGCAAGACACAACUGGGAAAGGUCGGCAAAAUGGAUAUGGAAGAGAGAACCAAAGCAAAAAUGCAUGUAAUGGGGUAAUGCAAGGGAAAGCAAAAGUCCCAAACG